UGCGCCAUUUCUUGAGGGAAUGCUGCAAUCGCGCUGCAGAGGUCAGGGGUUCGAUUCCCCUCGGCUCCACCA
rnacentral:tRNA from 1 species